GACGAACCGUGCGAACGUUGUUCGGAAUCACUGGGCUUAAAGGGCGCGUAGGCGGCCUGCUAAGUCGGAUGUGAAAUCCCUCGGCUCAACCGAGGAACUGCAUCCGAUACUGGCGGGCUUGAAUCCGGGAGAGGGAUGUGGAAUUCCAGGUGUAGCGGUGAAAUGCGUAGAUAUCUGGAGGAACACCGGUGGCGAAGGCGGCAUCCUGGACCGGUAUUGACGCUGAGGCGCGAAAGCUAGGGGAGCAAACGGG
rnacentral:rRNA from 1 species